rnacentral:lncRNA from 1 species
CGGCCGCCCGGGCCCGCGGGCGGGGGGAUUGGCAGGGGACCCGCGUGGGCACAGCCACCAUGGAGUUCCGGCAGGAGGAGUUUCGGAAGCUGGCGGGGCGCGCCCUGGGGAGGCUGCACCGGUUACUGGAGAAGCGGCAGGAAGGCGCGGAGACAUUGGAGCUGAGCGCCGACGGGCGCCCAGUGACCACACACACGCGGGACCCGCCGGUGGUGGACUGCACUUGCUUUGGCCUCCCUCGCCGCUACAUCAUCGCGAUCAUGAGCGGUCUGGGUUUCUGCAUCAGCUUUGGCAUCCGCUGCAACCUGGGCGUGGCCAUCGUAUCCAUGGUCAACAACAGUACAACCCACCGUGGGGGCCACGUGGUGGUGCAGGUAGCUGCUUUGGCGAGCCCUGCUCACAGCCUGUGGUCCAGGUCGCAUUCCUCCCUAGUUACUACCCUUUGGUCCUGCCCAUCUGUGCCUCCUUAUAGAUCUGACCCCACUCCCGGUUCCUGGCUUCCUCAACCCCCGCCCUUAUAUAAAGGAAGCUCCGCCCCUUUUCCAUUCCAGAUUACGGAAACGACAGCAAUAGCAUUAGGUUCGCUACUUAUGGCCCCCU